AUGACCCUCGACACCUGUUGUUUUCCUGGAGUGAAGCAACACAUCUGUGCCCUGAUUGCCUUCCUGUCUAGUUCUGUGGCCUGGGUAUUGGGUAUCACCCUAGUGAGCAGCAUAUCCUGGCGAGUGUGGGAACUGGACAGCCAGGUUGUUCCCCUUGCCUUCAUUGGCCUUUGGAAUGCUAGAUAUUAUGUCAGGCGAAAUAACUCUGGCACAGUGGUUGAUAUGCCAGUGCAGACCAGCAUCCACAGCGGGUGGACCCAGGCAACUGAGCUUCAAUAUGCAAAAGAUCUAAUGGUGUUGGUAAAUUUCACUCAGCCAGCGGCUCUGAUUCUCAGCACAGUGGCCUUCUUAGUCAGCAGACUGGAGCCCACCUAUCCAGAAUUCCUGCGACUCUAUUACAGAAGCUCAGCCCUCCUUCUUUUCCUCAGCUCUGGCUGUGUGGCUCUGGCUGUGAGCUGGAACUAUGCCAUGGAUAUGUAUGGCCAUAGUACCCUUGACUUCCCAGGAGAGUUUGCUGUGGACAAAGAGGCUGUGACCAAAAAGCACUUCUCCUAUGUGUUUCCGCUAGGGAUCGUCACUGCCACUCUGUCCCUCCUCAGUGGCAUCCUAAGCUUUGGGGUCCUGAGCUUCACACAGCCCAAGGACCAAGUAAGGAAAGCUGAGGGCCGAGAGCUGGGAUGCGUGGCAAGGCCUGAGCACAGGGUGCUUGAGGAAAUCGCCACCUCGUUGGCAUGCUGAGGCGACUAUGUUCUCACUGCAAAUAAACUCCGUACCUUUGACUGCUCAGCAUGUUUCUCAAGGUCCUGGCCUCCCUCAUCCUGUCAGUUCAUUUCUUCUUUGUUGGAAGGGUUUCAUUCCUGGAAAUCUGCUGCCCCGCACUUCCUGUUCACAGGCUGCCAAAAUGCACAGGCAGGGAAGUGUGCCGGUUGGUGUGUGCCAGCUCAAAGCAGUGACAAAGCCGAAAUCCAGGCUGGCCCCGUGUGAGGAAAUGGGCUCCCCUGUGCACACAGAGAAUACCCGUUCUCAGAGCUUUGAGGUCCAUCCCCGGUCCUGAAAAACAACAACAGCAGCAACCUUACUGAAUUAUAUAUUCUGAGUAUGUUCAAUCCUAUCAAUUAAAUUUUAAUGACUGUUUAUUAAUAAAGAAAUAGGCCAAUGGGAUAGAGUGCCUGGAAACAAACCUAACAAUAUGGGACAGAAAAUUCUCAGCAGUGUGCAGUGUACAUACUUAUAUCAUGUUUUAGUUUGCAGAUCCAC
rnacentral:lncRNA from 1 species